rnacentral:rRNA from 1 species
GUGCAGCCGGCGCGAAACCUCCGCAAUACACGAAAGUGUGACGGGGCCAUCCCGAGUGCCGUCCGCUGAGGACGGCUUUUCCCCAGUGUACACAGCUGGGGGAAUAAGGAGAGGGCAAGCCUGGUGUCAGCCGCCGCGGUAAUACCCAGCUCUCCGAGUGGUGGGGACGCUUAUUGGGCCUAAAGCAUCCGUAGCCGGCUGGGCAAGUCCUCCGUUAAAUCCAACGAUUCAAUCGUUGGGCUGCGGGGGAUACUGUCCAGCUUGGGGGCGGGAGAGGCCGACGGUAUUCCCGGGGUAGGGGUGAAAUCCUAUAAUCCCGGGAGGACCACCAGUGGCGAAGGCUGUCGGCUAGAACGCGCCCGACGGUGAGGGAUGAAGGCUGGGGGAGCGAACCGGAUUAGAUA